rnacentral:lncRNA from 1 species
UAAAAAUUUUGUGUGGAUACAGAAUCACAGAGAGGAACACCCACAUGACUUAGAAUUCAAAGUAUCUCAUGUAUGAGAUUUCUUAAUUUAAGCCUUUUCUGUGCCUGCUGAAUACCAGUGGGUGAAGAAUGCCUUCAAUGCCAUUUUGGCAUUUCUAGCACCCUGUGUAGCUUGAUAGGAUUCUUUAUCCUGACAUGUUAUAGUAGUCCCAGCUUUUCUUGUAGAAGAAAGUCCACUCUGCUUAACAUUAAUUUUAAGAGAUAUUAUAGUAGAACUGAAUAUAAACAGACUUUUUUUGUUUCCAUAUGUAUGAUUAAGUUUCUCUAUAUACAAACUAGAGAUAAAACAACUUGCUCCUUACUAUAUGUGGAAGGCUGGGGGAAUUCUUUCUAUGAGCAAUAAUGAUAAAUAUUAACAUUCUGUGAGUGUCUACUAUUUCCCAGCCACCAUGGUUGGCAUUUUGUAUUCCAUUGUUUUAUUUAAUCCUAAGAAGACUCUGUAAGGUAUUAUCUACCUUUUUCCUUCCCCCUUCCCAACCCCUUUUUUUUUUUUUUAAAAAAAAGACUAGUCAAGUGCAGUAGAUAUAUGCUUUUUUUUUUUUCAGAUAAGGAAGCUGAAAUUUAGGGAAGCUAAAUAAUUUACCAUUUAUGGUGCUGGUAAAAGUAUGCCAUGUCUGAUUCCAGCACCUUGACUUUCAUUACUUCUCUUUGAUCUUCUAGGAGGAAGAUGGAAAUGUUCUGAAGUCUGGUGCAUUGCCUAGAAGUCCUUCAGCAACUGAAACCUCACUUCUGUCACUCUUUCUCCUCGUUUUCCCUUAUCUCUUAUGCUCUGGUGAUACGAACCUACUUGCAAUUCCCUUAAAGUCCUGUUCUCUCAAGUCUCUGGACUUUUGUUGGGAUUGCUUCUUAGCUUAAAAUUUCUUUAUCCCAAUAGCAUCAGACUAGCUGUUCUAAUCCUUUCAAGUUUCAGUUUAAACUACUCUGCCAUGUUUCCACUACUCUUGACAUACUCCAUUACAGCAAGGAUCUUUCUGUGUCAUCACCUAAAUCGAGCAACUUGAGGGAGUCUUUUUGUUUCUUCAUUAUUGUAUUUCCAGGACCUUUCAAAAUAUCUAUUUCACAGUAUCAAUUAAAUGUUUAUAGAAUGAAUGUAUGAAAGAAUGCAUAAAUGACUUGCUAUUCGUGCAAAAAAAACUCAUUAGGGAUCUGUGGAGGGUCCUAUCUUAUUUUAUUCCUUAACAGCCUAAAAGUUAUCAGAAGUGAAAACUUUUCAUCCUCUCAUAAGAAAGCUUUCCAACAUAUCCUCAUUUUGAAUAGCAUACCUGGAACACAGUGGUAGCUUGACACAUAUUUGUUGAAUUGAUGAAGAGCUUGAAAAACGAAUAUAACGUCUUUAUUAUAUAAUGCCUAUUCUUUCCAGACUCACUUUGUGUCCCGCCUACUUUAUCCUCUAAUAAUGAGUAACAGUAUGUAAUUUUCAUUCAUGCAUCAAAUACUUAUUUAUCCACUAUUAUGUGCCGGCACAUUGGUGCACUGUUUCAAGUAGGCUCCUUCUUUUCCUUGCUAUCCGUGUUUGUGGAAAUUCAUGAAACCAUUCAGCGAAUACCAUAUUUAUUGUGGUUUUCCUAUCUUCCUUCAUUCAGUUCAGUUACUUCUCCCAGACCAUCCCUGACCCCUUGGGCAGCUAGUGCCUGCCUCUAUCUUAGCCCUGAUUACAUCAAUUUCAUGUUUGUCACUCCCUACCCUCAUUUCUAACCCACAAUACCGUUAUGAUCUCAGAAGGCAGGAAUUGAAGUUUGGUUCAGUUAUGUGUCCCCAGGGCCCAGCAAAAACCUAGGACACGGCCAAACUGUCUAUAUAAGUAUUGAGAUGAAUAACUGCUACUUUUUCUUUCUUUCUUUCUUUUUUUUUUUUUUUUUGGAGAGACAGUUUCACUCUUGUUGCCCAGGCUGGACUGCAAUGGCGCGAU